rnacentral:misc_RNA from 1 species
GAUGAAGAACGUAGCGAAAUGCGAUAAGUAAUGUGAAUUGCAGAAUUCAGUGGAUCAUCGAAUCUUUGAACGCACAUUGCGCCCGCCAGCAUUCUGGCGGGCAUGCCUGUUCGAGCGUCAUUUCAACCCUCGACUUCCCUUUGGGGAAAUCGGCGUUGGGGACCGGCUGUAUAUCGCCGGCCCCGAAAUGAAGUGGCGGCCCGUCCGCGGCGACCUCUGCGUAGUAAUCCAACUCGCACCGGAACCCCGACGUGGCCACGCCGUAAAACCCCCGACUUCUGAACGUUGACCUCGGAUCAGGUAGGAAUACCCGCUGAACUUAAGCAUAUCAAUAAGCGGAGGA